rnacentral:rRNA from 1 species
AUUGAACGCUGGCGGCAGGCCUAACACAUGCAAGUCGAACGGUAACAGGAAGAAGCUUGCUUCUUUGCUGACGAGUGGCGGACGGGUGAGUAAUGUCUGGGAAACUGCCUGAUGGAGGGGGAUAACUACUGGGAACGGUAGCUAAUACCGCAUAACGUCGCAAGACCAAAGAGGGGGACCUUCGGGCCUCUUGCCAUCGGAUGUGCCCAGAUGGGAUUAGCUAGUAGGUGGGGUAACGGCUCACCUAGGCGACGAUCCCUAGCUGGUCUGAGAGGAUGACCAGCCACACUGGAACUGAGACACGGUCCAGACUCCUACGGGAGGCAGCAGUGGGGAAUAUUGCACAAUGGGCGCAAGCCUGAUGCAGCCAUGCCGCGUGUAUGAAGAAGGCCUUCGGGUUGUAAAGUACUUUCAGCGGGGAGGAAGGGAGUAAAGUUAAUACCUUUUCUCAUUGACGUUACCCGCAGAAGAAGCACCGGCUAACUCCGUG